rnacentral:rRNA from 1 species
AAACCAGCACCUCAAGUGGUCAGGAGGAUUAUUGGGCCUAAAGCAUCCGUAGCCUGCUCUGUAAGUUUCCGGUUAAAUCCAUUAGCUUAACUUAUGGGCCGCCGGAAAAACUGCAAAGCUAGGGAGUGGGAGAGGUAGACGGUACUCGGUAGGAAGGGGUAAAAUCCUUUGAUCUAUUGAUGACCACCUGUGGCGAAGGCGGUCUACCAGAACACGUUCGACGGUGAGGGAUGAAAGCUGGGGGAGCAAACCGGAUUAGAUACCAGGGUAGUCC